ACAAACACAAACAACAAAACCCCACAGCGGUUUUGGGGCCCACGGCCCGGCCUUGCACCUGCAGCGGGGGCUCCCCGAGCCUCCCCAGCUCCCCGCAUCCGCUGCCCGGGUCGCCCGCUGCCCCCCGCCCCGCUCGGCACCCCCCCUCCGGCAAACAAAAGCGCUCGGCGAGCCAGCGGCGUGCCCGCUCCGCCCCGGCCCCGCUCCGCCCCGCGCUCCCGCUCCGCCGGCCCCGCUCCGCCCCGGGCCCGCUCCGCCCCGCGCUCCCCGCUCCACCACCGGCUCCACUCCGGGCCCCGCACCCCCGGGCCCGCCGCCGGGCCCGCCGCGAGCGCCGCCCGUUCACCUGCUGCCUGCGAAGCCGCGAGCGCUGUUUGGCUUCAGCGGGGGCCGCGGCCGCCCGUGCUGUCGCCCCUGGGGGCAUGAGCGGCGGGCGGGUUGCUGACACGGAAAGGGGUCGGUGGGGGCUUUGCCCCCAGCUUCUCCCCUCUCGAGCCUGUUUUUCGGUUUAUAAGGGAGGGGGGGGCGCCGCGGCGCGGGGGUCGUACCGCUGCUGGCAGGGCUGGUGCAGAAGGCAGCGCUCGGUGGAGGGGUUGCACAAACGGCGCUUGGCUCAGGCACCGUCUCUGGGCGGAGCUGAGUCCCUCUCUUCAGAUGAAAAAGAGGUGGCAGCUGGCAGCACGGAGGGAGAGGGCUCGGCCGAGGAGCACCCAGUGGGAGAGGAGGGUUCCAAAACCAGCUCCAGCAGUAGCUCGGAAGAAGAGUCAGAUGCAGAGGAGUCGGAUGGAAGACGGUCACAUGAAGAACAGGAGGAGAAGGAGUUGCUACCGUGCUGCGAUGAAUCAGGAGCGAACUGUCUGCUACCCUGUGAGCACUGCAGAAAUGAAAAUGACCAGAAGGAGCAAGUGACCCCUAGGAGACUGUCUGGAGGACAAUAUGUGGCACGGCUGGAUGCAGAGGGGACUUACCAGUGCAGCCUCACAGGCUUGAUUUUUGAAGUAACGGGGCCCGUCAAAAUCACAUAUUCCCUCUUAUCCUGGAGCAAAUACGCCAGCCUGGUGGAAAAGCCGUGGAUCGUGGGCGGCCCCCUCUUUGACGUGCGCUGCGACUCAGCCCCUGCUCUCACCUCCAUCCAGUUUCCCCACUCCCUCUGCCUGGGCGAUCAUGGUGCUGGCAUGGCCUUCAAGGUUUUGCACAUCAAGGGCGAGGGAGCAGCCAUCGAGCCCUCCGCCGACUACUCGGCCUCGCACGUGAAGUGGCUGGUGAGCUCGCUGUCACCGGUGGGACCACUCAUCCAGAGCCAGGAGCCCGUGCAGUACCACGGUGCCGUCAUCCUCUACAAAGUCAUUGAUGAGCACCCCUCCUUGUCCUUUCGGGUCUACGUGGCUACAAACAAUGACUCCUUUAUAAAGGAUAUCUCAAAAGCUGUAAAACAUUCUAAUAAGAAAUUCAUUAAAAUUGACAAGCCCCCUGUAUGCCAGAAGUUACUACAGAAAGGAAAGAAGUAUAGAUUAAUUUGUGAGCCAGAAGCUGAAAUAACUCCAGAGGAAAUUGAAUUUGUUGACGGAUCUCUCUUGAAACUAAAAAGUUACAUUGAAGUCUAUUUGGAGAAACCUGAUGACUUCACCUUGUCUUUGGUUGAGCUAGAGUCCGAAGCGACCGUCUGGAAAGCAAAACUAAGGGAGAGUGACUGGAUACAUUACGAUCAGAAUAAAAACGAGCAGAAAAGAAGCGCAGUCAGUGUCAAAAAACGGAAACUAGCCCUCAGCAUUUUGAAAGAAGACGAGAUCUGUGGCAAAAAGCAAAAGAGCAGCAAUCCUGCAGAUGGAAUUGAAACAAAAAACCUAACUGAUCAACAGCUGAUGGUGAUCGCAAAGUUGUUUGGUAGGCAGUGGCGAGAAAUUGCCAUUGAGUGUCUUCAGAUGGAAAUGAAAGACAUCGAGCAGAUUCAGGCAACAGAAGAAGAAGUUAAUAUGCAAAAAUUUCUGGUGUUGAGCAAGUGGAGAGACAGAGAACAAAGCAACGGAACUGCAGAAGCCUUGUACAGAAGUCUCCGUGAAAAAGUGUCCUAUGAGAUACUGCAAGCCCUGCAAGGUAUCGCCUUCCCGUUAUAUUUAUUUAAUUACAUCAGUGUGUUUCAGAUGUAUUUUAAGAAUUCACAUCAGAGAGUUUACCAAAUGCCUAGUACAUGUUUUACUACAUAGGUCAAAAUUGUCUCCCUUUGAUGUCAGCAAUGACUUUCUUUCUUUCUUGUGGCAUUUUUAUACUUCCCUUCAGAAACUGCUAUAAAAUGAAUAAUAUUUCUGCACUGACUGUGUUAAUAGUGCUCCCAGCAUGACCUGGCUGUCAUGGUCAAGCAAAUCGGUGCUAUAGACCCAAGCCAAUGCUGGGUCUUCUCUGGAAGUCCUGAGAAGAGAUGUUUGGGUCUUUACUCUUAUCUGUUUUAGGAACGGUUAAUUAACACCUUCCCCUGAUGGAUGACUUAGCGGCUGGGUCCUGCAGACCCGUGUGUGUGUUUCUGGGCUCGGUGCUGAGCUGUGGAGCUGCAGCUGGAAGGAGCACGGCGGGAGCUUCUCCAGCCACUCCCCCGGCAUUGCGCUGGGAUCCGGGGAGGAAGAUGCAAGGCAUCAUCACUCAGUGGAAAGUUUAGGCAGUGUCUCCACAAGAAAUGUGAAUGAAAUUUUGCGUGGCUAUGAGCACAUCUAAGACUUUCAGGAGCAAUCAGUCUUGCAGCGGAUCCCACCAUUGCGGCUGGCAGCGCAGGGCUUCGUGCUUGGGGAAACCCAGCGCUGCCACCCAGCUUUGUCAUGUUUGAGCCGGUCCUAAAAGACGUGAACACUGGAAGAAACCACUUUACCUUGUUCAGGUACAUGGUUGUUAUCAGGAAACAUUUUUAUUUCUAUCAGGGAAAGACAGGGAGGAAAGUUAUGCGGAAAUUUUCAUCCCCUUAAAAAAAAUAUUGAACUGCCAAAAUCAUGAGGUACACUGUAUUUCUCACAGAUGCCCAGAAUCAGGGAAGAAUAAUCCUAAACUUGCAGAUAAAUUCCUUUGCAUAAUCACUGUACAUAUACAUAAUCACUGUAUAUACUUGUGUACAAUCAGUCCUUGUUAAGCUGUGGUUCUGUUUUCUAAAAACCCGAAGACUGGUUUCACGGGAACACCACUUAAUAACUCCAGGCAACUUUAAAUUUUCCCUGGGAAUUUCUUCUUCACUCUUUUCUGUAUAGUCUGUCUCAAUUUUUAUGAGAUUUUUUUUAUGUUGUACAUAUUUUUUUUUAUUAGAAACUUUUUAUACUUUUUUUUGCUUGAUAAUUUUAAAUGGAAUAGAAUUAGGUGCUUAAACUAAAAUGGAAGAAGCCAAAAUCUUGGCAGAGGCUGUUGCUCAGCAAUGCACAUACUACAGAACUGGAAAAGAUUUGGAAAGAACCUUAUUUGCAGAAGAGGGUGGUAACGUGAUACAGGAGAUUGUCUUGGUUUUAAAGACAAGUGAUUCUUUUGAUCAUCUUCCUCUGCAUAUGUUUAUGAAAGGAAAAGCAUACUUUUGAAAAAUAAGGAUUAAAAAAGAAACAUGUACGC